CCUACGGGAGGCAGCAGUGAGGAAUAUUGGUCAAUGGGCGAGAGCCUGAACCAGCCAAGUCGCGUGAGGGAGUACUGCCCUAUGGGUUGUAAACCUCUUUUGUCGGGGAGCAAAAGCCGGACGUGUCCGGCUGUGAGAGUACCCGAAGAAAAAGCAUAGGCUAACUCCGUGCCAGCAGCCGCGGUAAUACGGAGGAAGCGAGCGUUAUCAGGAUGUAUGGGGUUUAAAGGGUGCGCAAGCGGAUUAUUAAGUCAGCGGUAAACUCGUGGGGCUCAACCCCAUCCAGCCGUUGAAACUGGGGAUCUAGAGUGUGCGAGAGGUAUGCGGAAUGCGUGGUGUAGCGGUGAAAUGCAUAGAUAUCACGCAGAACCCCGAUUGCGAAGGCAGCAUACCGGUGCACAACUGACGCUCAGGCACGAAAGCGUGGGUAUCGAACAGGAUUAGAUACCCGAGUAGUC
rnacentral:rRNA from 1 species